rnacentral:piRNA from 1 species
UGUUGUUGACCUUGAAAAUUAAAGAUUGUU